rnacentral:misc_RNA from 1 species
UUGAAUUUUAAUGAAGAGUUUGGUUGUAGCUGGCCCAUUCAUUUGGGCAUGUGCACACCUUCCUCUUUCAUCCCACACACGCCUGUGAACCUGUGAGACAGAGAUGGGGAAUUUACUUGCUGCUUUUUGGAAUACAAAGGCAAUAGGUUAUUGGACCCCCCCUCUGUCUACUCAAUUAAUAUAAACUCAAUUUAUUUUAAAACGAAUGUAAUGGAUGUAACACAUCUCAUAC